rnacentral:rRNA from 1 species
CCUACGGGAGGCAGCAGUGAGGAAUAUUGGUCAAUGGGCGAGAGCCUGAACCAGCCAAGUCGCGCGAGGGAGUACUGCCCUAUGGGUUGUAAACCUCUUUUGUCGGGGAGCAAAAGCCGGACGUGUCCGGCUGUGAGAGUACCCGAAGAAAAAGCAUCGGCUAACUCCGUGCCAGCAGCCGCGGUAAUACGGAGGAUGCGAGCGUUAUCCGGAUUUAUUGGGUUUAAAGGGUGCGCAGGCGGAUUUUUAAGUCAGCGGUAAAAUCGUGGGGCUCAACCCCAUCCAGCCGUUGAAACUGGGGAUCUAGAGUGUGCGAGAGGUAUGCGGAAUGCGUGGUGUAGCGGUGAAAUGCAUAGAUAUCACGCAGAACCCCGAUUGCGAAGGCAGCAUACCGGUGCACAACUGACGCUCAGGCACGAAAGCGUGGGUAUCGAACAGGAUUAGAUACCCGAGUAGUC